UUCGAGGUAGGAGUCGACUCCUGUGAGGUAUGGUGCUGGGUGCAGAUGCAGUGUGGCUCUGGAUAGCACCUUAUGGACAGUUGUGUCCCCAAGGAAGGAUGAGAAUAGCUACUGAAGUCCUAAAGAGCAAGCCUAACUCAAGCCAUUGGCACAGGCAUUAGACAGAAAGCUGGAAGUUGAAAUGGUGGAGUCCAACUUGCCUGGACCAGCUUAAUGGUUCUGCUCCUGGUAACGUUUUUAUCCAUGGAUGACUUGCUUGGGUAAGGACAUGAAGACAGUUCCUGUCAUACCUUUUAAAGGUAUGGAGAGUCGGCUUGACUACACUGUGUGGAGCAAGUUUUAAAGAAGCAAAGGACUCAGAAUUCAUGAUUGAAGAAAUGCAGGCAGACCUGUUAUCCUAAACUAGGGUUUUUAAUGACCACAACAAGCAAGCAUGCAGCUUACUGCUUGAAAGGGUCUUGCCUCACCCAAGCUAGAGUGCAGUGGCCUUUGAAGCUUACUACAGCCUCAAACUUCUGGGCUCAAGUGAUCCUCAGCCUCCCAGUGGUCUUUGUAGACUGCCUGAUGGAGUCUCAUGGCACAAGAA
rnacentral:lncRNA from 1 species